GGCCUUUUGGCUAAGAUCAAGUGUAGUAUCUGUUCUUAUCAGUUUAAUAUCUGAUACGUGGACCAAUGGUUCACACGAUAUUAAAUUAAUUUUUUAAGGGGAAGGGUUCAUUACAAUAGCUUGCUAUUGGAGCUCUUGCGUGUCGCCUAAGCGUUGCACUAUUUCUUGGGCCUGGCACACCCCACCAAAUCUAAGUUCAAAUUUUGACGGCCCAAUCCAAGUAACUUAUUUGCUAACCGCUAUAAUCCUCAUAAAUGUUGUGAUGGAAUGGAACGGAUGACGGAGUUUCGGAUUCAGGAAUGUGCAAGCUUUCGUAUUCUUCCCGAAGGUAAGGUAUGCGCAUGGAGAAUUUGUAAUGACAUCCUCCCAAUCAAAGCAAACCUCACUAGGAGACACGUGGGUGAUCGAUGAUCUGACUUGCCUCCUCUGUGGUUACGCGAGGAAGAACGUUUUUGACACCUCUCUGUGGACUACAUAAUAUUAUUUUAGAGUGCAAUUCACUCCAUAUCGUUUUAGCGUUUCAACAGCGUUCUUCUAAUUAGAGAAAUAACACGAUGUGAUCUCUCUAAAAAAUUCAUCAAAUAAGUUGAUUGAGCACAACUCAAAUUAACUUUGGAGAAUAGAUGACUACAAAAUACCUUCCUUUGUUUCUAUUUUGUUUUUGUUUUUUUAGUAACUUCCUGAGCAACACAUGAGUUGAUUUAAUUUAUUGGUGUUGUGCCUUUGCGUUUUAAAGCAAACGCAAAACAAAAUACCUUGGCAGUCCUAAGAGACGAGGUCAGGGACUAUGUCACAAAACGAAGUCAUGGUAGUUAACGUUGCGAGACAAGGUCACAUACAGCGUCGGGACUUGGGAUGUAGAGAGCGAGAUGAGGCAUAUGGUUCUUUCGUGAACGUUGGUGUCGAUUUCACACAGGGGAGAUGUUAUCCCAAUAAUUUGGCUCGAGUAAUUACUCAAUCAUGAAAACGAAAAAUCACCAAACGUGGAAUGGGAUACAAAUUUUACUCUCUUGUUGUUAACUUUACUACCAAAUGAUCCCCUAAAGAUGUUAGAUUGCAUCAGAUUGGAAUGGUAUGAUAUCAUGCGGCAUGUUUCAACCAUAGCAUUCUGCAAUCUCUCCAGUGAGUUAGAAGCAUUAACUAGUUACUUUUCAGAUUCCACUUACCCAUCUAGUUUCUUGUUUCGAGCUUUGUCGUUCGAAUCGAGCCAUGGAGAAGAAGUACCAAUCUCCAAGAUGCAGCCAGAAAGUGGAUGAGUUGAUCUCAGCUACAACUCUUGUACUGGGAAGAACAAGACCAAUGGCAUGGGUAUGAUGAUGAUUCGGAAGAGCUGGAUGACGAGUACUGGCCCAGUGAUGGAUGGGACUAAGGCAUGCGGAAGCGUGGUGGAAUAUGAUGACGACUCGUGGCAUCGACAAGACAUUAAGUGAUAUCCAAAGAAACAGUAUCUUAAAAUAAUAUGUGAUGUGACAAAAAUAAGAAUCUAUGAGAUAUAAAAUGUAAGUGUGAAUAAAGUAAUGUCUAAUAAGUUGUAAAGAGAGAUUCCCUUUCAUUGUUGUAGGUAAGCGACAAAAGAAUAUAAUGUCUCUUAGUCCUAGAUGAGGUUCAAAAGACUUCCUCCCUUGUCUACAAACUUGGUUGAGCAUUCAUACUUAGUUCACCAAGCAUUGUAAGAUAUUGAAGUAUCGUUAAAGAGAGUUUGUUUGUUUAACCCUCUUUGUUCAAUAUUCUUAGCUUGAGUGAGUCAUCCUAAAGAGCAGAGGUCCUAGUGUAAAGCUUAGUUUCCUUGUAGUGUUAAGUUUUAUUUUAAUUUCUGGAUUUUGGUGAUAAGAAGUGGUUUUAUAGGCCUGAGAGUGAUAAGAUAUAAUUGUUAGAAACAACACUGCAAGAAAGUAUUAUAGUCCCACAUCAGCCAGCUUAUUAAAUUAGGAGAGUUAAUUUGUAUAAAAAUGGAAGCCCAACAAUGAAAGAAUCAUACCUUUCUCGGCCUUUUGGCUAAGAUCAAGUGUAGUAUCUGUUCUUAUCAGUUUAAUAUCUGAUACGUGGACCAAUGGUCCACAGGAUAUUAAAUUAAUUUUUUAAGGGUAAGGGCUUAUUACAAUAGCUUGCUAUUGCGGUCAUCGAGUGUCGUCCAAGAGUUGCACUACUGCUCGGGCCUGGCACAACCCACCAAAUCAUAGUUUAGUCUUUAACAGCCUAACCAAGAAGCCAAACGUAGCCUAUUACCGAAGUAUUUAUUGGAACAUUUGACACUGACAGUUUCCCAACCAAAGAAACGGCCUCUCUUAAGUGCCUGAAGGAGAUGCUCUGGAUAAUCCUUGAUACAAACGACGCCGUGUAGUGAUUCCACUAAAAAUGCCAACUGCUGCAUCAAUCCCCUCGUUCACUGCACUCACCACUGACACAUCCGCUGCGCAGUCUAUGCAAUCAACUGCAACCAAUCGCAACCAAUCGGUUGUGAAGCAAUUAAAAUCAAUUUAAUCCAAUAUCUAAUCUCACUUGGUCAGCAUAAAAUCAGUUAAAUUUUAGUUAAUUACCUCCUGCAAGAGUGUAAACUAGAGAACGGUUCCUGAUAUCAACCACAUCCUCGAAGCUUGCACCGCAGAUGAGCUUGACCCAUUUGCCAUUUUCAAGAGAUUUUGCUGGAGAUGAGGUUUUUGAUGGAAUCCCAACAGUUCUUAUGAGAUUCUUCACUUCUUCAAGGCCUUUGCUGCUUGUAACCUUCACUUUGGCUGAAAUUUUUAGCACAAAACUUAACUGUUAGAGAGAGAGAGAAAGAGAGAGAGAGAAGAGACCUUGGUGUUGGUGGUGAGGAGAAAUUGAAGCAUUGCAGAAGAAGCUCAAAGCCAUCAUCUCAAACAUCCAUUAACGGAUAUUUCCCAAGAGCUGUAGUUUUGAGUUAUGUACUUUCACUAAUUUUUUCUAUUUUUUUAAUCUUAUUAGCUUAAUCCAUUUGCUUUUCUAUGAAUGCUUUACGGGAGCUGCUAGGUGUACUUGGGUUGAAGUACGUGGACAGAAAGAGUACUUCGAAAUAGUGCAUUAGAAACCCACAUCGACCACGGACAAAAGUAGAAGAACGAAGCUGCGUAUAAAAACGAAUGCCCAAUAUUGACAUAAGCAUACCUUUAUCGGCCUUUUGGUUAAUAUCAAGUGUAGUAUCUGUUAUUAUCAGUUUAAUAUCUGAUACGUGAACCAACGGUAUAUAUGAUAUUAAAUUAAUUUUUUUAGGAUGAGGGCUCACUACAGUAGCUUGCUACUGGGGUUCUUGCGUGUCGCCCAAGCGUUGCACUAUUGCUCGGUCCUGGCACAACCCACCAAAUCCUAGUUUAAAAUUUUCAAGGCCAACAUAUAUUAAGCAAUACCAAUCAAUCCCUGUUGGAAACCAAUUUUGUAGCGAUGCUUUAGUUCAAUUUUAUUUUAUACCUUCGCUCCUUAACCUAGGUCGUAUCCCUUUUUAUUUCUGAAAUUGAAGUUCCAAUUAGCUUUUGGCAAUACAAUCUUCACUUCGCUGUUUGUGUAUACGUUUUCAUAUCCCACAUCGGCUGCACAAAAAACGUGGGAGAAACAAGACUUAUGUUGUAAACAUAGACGUCCCAUUAUUUGGUUUGAGGGGAUGACAUCAUGUCUAUGUAAGCAAUGACAUCGUUGCUUAUACAUGCAUGAUGUCAUUGCUUGUAGCGGUGGGCGCGGUUCGGUUUGGUAAGGUUUUGAGUGAAACCAAAACUGUAAGUUUUUGCAGUUUGGUUCGGUGCGGUUUUUAGGCUAAAACCGAAAUGAAACCAAACCUUUUGGUUCGGUUUGGUUUGGUUUUAAACGGUUUUGGUUUGGUUUCAUUGUUUGAAAAAGCUAUUAUGGUUACCUAGUUGUAUCUCAUUUCAUCCAAUUCAAUAAAAAAGUUUUGGUGUUUGAAAGAGACAUUAUGUAAUGCAUUAUGACAUAAUGAAAAAUAAAUUGUUCAUCCAAUUCAAUAAAAAAAAUUUUGGUGUUUCAACUUACUUUGCGACUCUUAAAAAAGACCAGCACCAAAAAUCACCAAGUGAAAGUAAUUGUAAUUUACCACUAACCUCAUUGUCCGGUUGAAUAAGCAGCUCAUCGAUGAACUGGUAGACCGAUCCAACUUGAAAGCUAAGCUCCCGAAGGUGCUUACUGUCGAUUUUUGAUCUCUCACUUUCAUCGACAAGCUGUCUUUACAGAAUAAUCUUGUAACCUAUGAACGAAGUCAGGGAUACUAAUUCAUAAGCUACUUAAUGAUAUCGAAGAAUAAAUAUAAGAAAUGCACUUAGUUCAUAUUGUCUACUUCAUGCACAUCAUGCUACCAAUGUGCCAUAUCCAUCCUCCUCAAUAAACCAACUGGAGAUGCCACAUUCACCUCAAGAAUAUCUUCUUGGACAGUUCUGCAUCCUUUCCAACACACUACCAUCUUGAUGGUCAUCUAACUAUAUCAAAAUCAAACCACAAUUGUUCCGAGCAAUGUUAUCACAAACUCACAGCACCGAAAAUGUUGAAACUAUGUAUCUACAUACUUCGUAUGAUAUACUCCACCUCUAUUCAUCUUUCUUUUCUUCCCCAUCGAGAAGGACUCCCCUGUAAUGGGGUGUAUAUCCUCAUAUUCAUAUAGCUUUCAUCAUGUGGCAUAGUGCAUUGAGAGCUAUAGUAACAUGGGAAUAUGGACCCUGUGAGAGACAAGUUUUCCUCGUCCGCAAGAGUAACAGAACCAGUGUUAGCUAUAAAUUACUUGUAAACUAUUAAGCCACUAUAAGUAGAGUUAUGAGAUUUAUGAUAUCAAAGAAUUGAAUCUACAUGUUUUGAACCUUCCAUUUUUAAAACUAUGAAAAUUUCGGAACUGGAGGUUCGAAUAAAACUCAGGGAUUUAAUUUGUUACAGAUGAUUGGAAAGAAAAUAAAAGAGGAAGACAAUCAAUUUACACGAUGCAACAAAAAAUUACCGCUAAAAAUGGGAAGGGCAUAAGUCUUACUUUCCGGUUACUCGUAACGAAGCUCCUUGCUUGAAGUAUAAGGAAGAUGGAUGCAGGAAAGUCAUGCAGGUACUGCCCUGCCAAUAGCUGGGCAAGGCAUGGCAGGGUGGUAUUUCUUUUCCGUUUCACCUAAAUCCGUUUCUCAUAAAUUUCUUCAUCUUAACUUCCUUCCUAAUUAUAGUAUUAAGUGGUUGGUGACUUCCUUUAACUUUAUUUCUUGGGCCCAUAUUUUUAGAUGAACAAAUUUCUUAGCAGAUGUGAUCACUAGUACUGAUUUUCAGUUCAAUAAUUUUCGUAUUUUGGAUAAAACUUUAUUUCUUGUGACAAGAAAACUUAUUUCAAAUUUUUGUCCAAGUCAAACCUCAUAAGUCAAAUUUUGAAGUCUCAUCAAUCAAUGCUGAAUAUCUUACACAACAUGGUUGUUUUUGGUGUGUGAAAUAAGCAUAAACUAAUUGCAAUACGGGUAUAACGAGGAAGGCAUGUGAAUAGUUUAUAUCGAUCCUCAAAGUCAGCACAAGAACAAGUAGUGGGGAAUAUUUUUGCUAUUUUCUUUUUAAUUUGUGUUUUUAUCACAAAUAGUUCCUAAAAGUAACACACCCAAUUAAGGUAGUCCAUGAAAUUAAAAAUCAAUCAAUAUAGUCUCUGAAUAUUACUGCUGAAAAUCAAUGUGAUACUUUCGUUAAAUUUUCGUCAAAACUUCUGUUCAUGGCUGACAUGAGGGAACCAAUAUAAUUAAAUAUUCCCAGCUACUCCAGUUGGUUCUCACCGAACCACGUCCACCAUUGCAAGGUUCGAUUCCUCCCUCUGUCUGCAGCGCAGCUGCUGCCAUGUCCACGACGUCGAGCCCAGUCGUGGUGUUGUUAGGGUCGCCCGAGAUUGAGUGAGCACCCUACUCCACUGCACCCUUCCUCCCUCCCUGGACCCUUCAUCUGUCCCUGUAAAUCCAAAUCCCUGCACCCUUCCUUCCUCCUUGCAAAUCCAAAUUCCUACACCCUUCCUCCCUCCCUGCAAAUCCAAACCAUCACCAUCCAAAUUCCUGCAAAUCCAAACAAUCACCAUCUUUUAAAUCAAUUUGAAAAUGAAAAAACAAAUGAAAAAAAAGAACAAAGGAGAUCGAACGAUCUCCUUCCCCCUCCGACCUAAUCUGGUAAUCCCUUCCACACACCACCCUACUUUCCAGAUUACUCCCUCUGAUUACUCCUGCGUUUUUUUGUCUUUGGAAGAACCAAAACAUGCAAGAAACCAACCCAUGAUUUCGACCUCUCUCUCUUUCCCUCCUCUUGGUCUCUCAAAGAUUGUGUGUUUCUACAAAACAUGGUGGGGAAAAUGGUGGCUUGGUGCUUGGGUUGGGUGCUCACAGGUCACAGCCUCUUGGGUGCUCACAUGGCAGCAGCUACGUUGCAGACGGACACGGAGGGAGGCAAUUGUGGACAUGGUUCGGCGAGAAUCAGUUGGAUUAGCUGGGAAUAUUUAAUUAUAUUGGAUCCCACAUGUGCCAUGCCAGCCAUUAACAGAAGUUUUGACGGAAAUUUAAUGGAAAGACCACAUUGAUUUUCAGCAGUAAUAUUCAGGGACUACAUUGAUUGAUUUUCAAUUUUAAGGACCACCUUGAUUGGGUGUGUUAAUUUUAGGGACUAUUUGUGAUAAAAACCCUUUUAAUUUUAUGUGUUUGCUAAGCAACAUGGUGAUGGAAUUCCUCUUGUGCUGGCUUCUCUCCCCUUGCUUUUUUAGAUUUCUCUCUUCUGAAGGUAUGGCUCUCAGAGAUGGAUUGUUACGAGCUUUUUACACAGGACAGUAAACAAAUUUGAAAAUCAUUAUCGGUUAUAUUAGUGACAUGCUCUAUUUUUUGACGUAUUUAUAUAGUUUUUUGAGAUAUUAUAAUUCAUCAUGAAUUCUUAGUAUCAGCAUUGAACAUAUUUUUCGAGAAGCAAUUUUGGUUGCCGACGCUCUUGCAAACUUAGGUCAAUGACGUUCUUCUCCCCACGUGUGGAUUCACAGUAUCCCUCCCUUUGACCAACAUGGACAAGGUUGAAUUAGAGGUUUUUCUAUGGUAAACUAUUUCAGUUGUUUUGUUCAGGGAAAAGAGCAUAGUUGAUUGCCUUAUUGUGUCUGUGCCUUAGCAUUUUCUAGCUAGAGCAAUUUGCUCUCAGCAAAACAUCAACUUUCUUAAACAAAUUAAACUACAGCAUAUUGAAACGGCUCCGGCAUGUUUCAGCAAUCUCUUCAACGACUUAGAAGCAUAAAUAUUUCAAGGAACAGAAAGCUUUUGCAGAUCCGGCUUCCUCAUUUAGUUUCUUGUUUCCAGCUCUAUCGUUCAAACCGAGCCACAGAGGAGACUCAAAGUUGGUGCAGCCAGAAAGAGCACUGGUUGAUCUCAUCGAUCAAUCCCAUCCCAUGUGAUGUUAUAUUCCUGCUUGCUGGCGAUAAGAUGUAGUUUUGUAGGCCUGAGAGUGGUAAGAAGUAAUUGUGUUAGAGUGCAGCAAGUUAGAAACGGCGCUGCUGCAAGAAACUAUGGGGGAGUCCCACAUCGGCUAUCUGAAGAAGUAGGAGAGUUAAGACGUGGGAUAAAAACGAAAGCCCAAAAUUGAAAUAAGCAUACCUUUCUCGGCCUUUUGGCUAAGAUUAAGUGUAGUAUCUGUUCUUAUCAGUUUAAUAUCUGAUACGUGGACCAAUGGUUCACACGAUAUUAAAUUAAUUUUUUAAGGGGAAGGGUUCAUUACAAUAGCUUGCUAUUGGAGCUCUUGCGUGUCGCCUAAGCGUUGCACUAUUGCUUGGGCCUGGCACACCCCACCAAAUCAAAGUUCAAAUUUUGACGGCC
rnacentral:lncRNA from 1 species